CUAGGAAUUAAAUUGAAAAUACAUAGAAAGCAUUUAACAGCCAGGAAGGCAUGGACCCACCACUCAGGAUGACCAGGCUGUCAGGCCAGAGCUGGGUUCUGGAGGCCCCAGACUGUUCCAGGCAUUAACCUUGGUGUUUGAAUGGCAGGGCCUAAUUUCAUGGGAGAAUCCAGGAGGCAGGCAUGUGGGGGCAUUUGGGAGAAGCACUCCAAGUAGCAUCUAUCUAUCAUUCAUAACAAAUGAUUUUUAAUAUUUUAACAGUCCGGUGGGCAUAUUGGUACAAGCUUUCUGAAUAUCGAAAUAUUUAUUACUAUUACAAAUAGAAUAGCUAUGAAUAUCUUUAUAGAGAGGUGUCUUCACAAAGAUCUCUGAUUAUUCCUAGAGGCACAUUUUCUGGGUCAAAAGAUAAGAUACAUUUGUAGGGCUUUUAGUAUAAAAUCACAAAUUGCUUUCAGAAGAACACAGUUUAUAAGUUUACCAAGCUUAUUAUCUUUUUGAUCAACUUUACCAUUAAAACCUGCAUGCUGUGGAGUAGGUUUUUUGCAUCUCAGUUUCUCUUGCCCCACCAAAUCUACGUAUAGGUAUCUAUCCCCAAAAACAAAAGAACAAAGUCUUGUAUGUGCAAAAAGAAGCACAAACAAGGACAUUCAUUGUAGCAUUAUAUGUGGUAAGAAUAACAGCCCCCCAAAAUUGAAAAGAAAUGACAUAUUCAGGAAUAGGAGGAAUCAAUGGCUUAUAUACUUUAGGAUAAUUUAUGUUGUGAAAUAUUAUGCAAUAAUUAAAAAGAAUGAAGAAGAUGUAUGAGACUAACAUGGAAUGUUCCAUGACAUAUUAAGAAAUAAAAAGUUUUAGGACAGAACAUGUAGCAUGAUCACAGCAAUGUUACAUACAAAGAAGUACUGGAGGCCAGCCUCAGUGGCUCACACCUGCAAUCCCAGCACUUCGGGAGGCCGAGGUGGGUGGAUCCCAAAAUCCUGAGGUUGGGAGUUUGAG
rnacentral:lncRNA from 10 species